UGGACAUUAGUUAAAUCAUAACUCUUAAAUUGCAUUUAAAAAUUAUAAACAAAAUUUAUAUGUCUAA
rnacentral:tRNA from 1 species